GUAGGUGGCAAGCGUUGUCCGGAACUAUUGGGCGUAAAGCGCGCGCAGGUGGGUUCUUUAAGUCUGAUGUGAAAGCCCCCGGGCUCAACCGGGGAGGGUCAUUGGAAACUGGGGAACUUGAGUGCAGGAGAGGAAAGUGGAAUUCCACGUGUAGCGGUGAAAUGCGUAGAUAUGUGGAGGAACACCAGUGGCGAAGGCGACUUUCUGGCCUGUAACUGACACUGAGGCGCGAAAGCGUGGGGAGCAAACAGGAUUAGAUACCCUGGUAGUCCACGCCGUAAACGAUGAGUGCUAAGUGUUGGGGGGUUUCCGCCCCUCAGUGCUGCAGCUAACGCAUUAAGCACUCCGCCUGGGGAGUACGGUCGCAAGACUG
rnacentral:rRNA from 1 species